UCCAAUUUUUUGAUUUCUCUGUUUUUUUUUAUUAAAUCCUUCUUAUGUCACGCACUGAUGAUUUUAUAUUCUUUUCUUGAGUGGAAGCAGAACAGAAUCUGACGAUGAAGAGCGAACAGACUCGUGCAGUCUCGAGCUGCGUGAGUUUAGUACAGUGGUUAUUGUGGAAUCUCGACUGAGAGGAGAGCAAUUGGUCAUGGGUGGUUGGCUUCUUUCCGUGUGGGCUUUGUGAAUGAGUUAGUUGUUGACUCUUGACUUGUAAUAUUUUGAUGAUCAAUGCUCAGUAAUCUAUAUGCAGGGUAGAAGGGAUUAAGACUAGCGAUUGGAUUUGGUUAUCUUCGGUAAUCAGUGCCGAUUUAUAAUAUUUUGCCCUAAUAUCUAUGAAUCGAAAACCUGUGUGACGAUGCAUUGGUUGAGUAUAAUUUUAUUUUUUUGUCCUCGGACCCAGGUCUACUAAUUGUUUCGUGGAUUGGAUUGGGUUCCAAUUGGAAUAGGUGAAAUUCAAUUCAAGAACUUGCUAUUUUUAUUUGGUCAUUUCGUAUAUAGAAUAUGGUUACUUUUGCUUAUGAAGUGAGUUGCUUCUGCAGCUAAGCGGGGAUGCUUAAGCUGGAUCCUCAGAGCGAAAAUGCUCUUAUUGUGGAAGCACAGAGCUUCAGGCUUUUCAUUUUGCUGGGAAGUUCCAUAGCUUCAUAACAUUUGUCUGCAACAAAGAAUGCUAUCAAUCCAAAAGGCUUGUUUCAAGUACUGGUGUGAAUAGAUUUUUCUUUCAAGUUCACGAAAACUCUGUUCUAUAAUUCAUCUUAUGGUUUUACUUGUACGAAAACAUGAUUUAUGUUGUGUGUUCUUGAGGAAACAACUAUAGUAGUACGUACAGGGUGCUUGUGACAGCAGAAAAUGCUUUGAAUUGCUUGAAUUUCAAGGAACUGAUUGCUGUGCCCCCUUAUCUGUUUGAAUAUUUGUAGUCUUGGGAGGCUAAAGUAAAAUCCUUCGUAGGAAUUUUUGCAGCUUUACCUUUUCAUUACUUGACUAAUUGAACUUGCCUUUGUCGUCA